UAGCCGUAAACGAUACUCGCUAGGUGUCGGCCACGGUGCGACCGUUGUCGGUGCCGUAGGGAAGCCGUGAAGCGAGCCACCUGGGAAGUACGGCCGCAAGGCUGAAACUUAAAGGAAUUGGCGGGGGAGGCACCACAACGGGUGGAGCUUGCGGUUUAAUUUGGAUUCAACGCCGGAAAUCUUACCGGGACCGACAGCAACAUGAAGGCCAGGCUGAAGACUUUGCCGGAUUAGCUGAGAGGAGGUGCAUGGCGUAGACGUCU
rnacentral:rRNA from 1 species